rnacentral:misc_RNA from 1 species
AAGUCGUAACAAGGUCUCCGUAGGUGAACCUGCGGAGGGAUCAUUAACACUUUAAACAAAAAUAAACACAAUCCGGUAACCUCUUGCUAGUUUUUUGUUUUUAGUAUUGGAAGUUUUAUGAAGAAAACCAAAAAAAGGAAGUGAUUUAUAGAUCUUGAGUUCUUGGAUGUAUUUCUGAUUGAUGCUCUCUAUAUUUUACUUUGUUUUUUUACUUUCUCAAUAGUUCUUCCUUUCUAGAUAAAUUUCUAGUAAGAAACCUUUUUUAUUCUAUUCACUCGUAUUUAUGCAAGUGUAAUAGUAUAAUAACUUAUACUAUCAGUACUAAAUCUUUUUCUUUCUCUUUUGUUUCUAGCAAACAAAUGAAAAGAAAAAAACCUAAAUAAACAUUGAGCACAACUCUUAACAAUGGAUAUCUAGGCUCUC